rnacentral:rRNA from 1 species
UGACGUCAAAUCAUCAUGCCCUUACUGACCUGGGCUACACACGUGCUACAAUGGUUGGUACAACGAGUUGCGAGUCGGUGACGGCGAGCUAAUCUCUUAAAGCCAAUCUCAGUUCGGAUUGUAGGCUGCAACUCGCCUACAUGAAGUCGGAAUCGCUAGUAAUCGCGGAUCAGCACGCCGCGGUGAAUACGUUCCCGGGCCUU